rnacentral:rRNA from 1 species
UUCGCAAUGCCCGAAAGGGUGACGAAGCGACGCCGCGUGGGUGAGGAAGGCCUUCGGGUUGUAAAGCCCUGUCAGGAGUUAAGAAAUGUAGACUCGCUAAUAUCGGGUCUAUUUGACAAAGGCUCCAAAGGAAGCCACGGCUAACUCUGUGCCAGCAGCCGCGGUAAUACAGAGGUGGCAAGCGUUGUUCGGAAUUAUUGGGCGUAAAGAGCACGUAGGUGGAUUUGUAAGUCAGACGUGAAAGCCUUCUGUUCAACGGAAGAAUUGCAUCUGAAACUACGAGUCUUGAGUGUAGGAGGGGAGAAUGGAACUUCUGGUGGAGCGGUGAAAUGCGUAGAUAUCAGAAGGAACGCCGGCGGCGAAAGCGAUUCUCUGGCCUAUUACUGACACUCAGUGUGCGAAAGCUAGGGGAGCAAACGGGAUUAGAUACCCCGGUAGUCCCAGCCGUAAACGAUGGGCACUAAGUAGAGGGGUUUU